AUAUAGUAAUAGUAAUCGUCCGCUUAUAUGGCGCGCUCAUAUCCAGGCACAUUGCCUGCUCACGGCGCUAAGUACAUUACUUUGUGAGAGUAGA